GGAAAGAGAAUGUCCCCAAAGAGAAGAGAGAGAGUCCGAAGAGCAUUAUAUAAUGUAAGUACAAAUGAACAGUCAAUCAAGAAAGUGGUGUUGGAAUUCCUCUAUUCAUUUCUAUACCAACCGGUCACAUUGGACAAUAGCCUGCUGUGGAUGGUGAAAUCGCGCAUGUUGAGCAAUCCAGCAGUUUAGCUUCUACGGAAAUUAUCAUUGACAAAUGUGUUGUGAAAGGCUAUCAUGUGUUUAAAAUUCGUUCCCCAUAUACCCCUCCUCCAACUCGAUUAAUUGUUGACCGAGAAUAUUCAAACAUAAAAGACAGCAAUGCUUGUUUGGUGUGGCUUCCACCAUUGAAUAAUUUCCCCCCAAAUAUUCAUAAUGACAUUACAGAUGGAAAACGUCAGCUGAAAGUUAGUGACAUAGCUGGGCUACCUAUUGGACAUGUACCAAAAUGCCUAUCUGCACAUUUUCGUAACAUUUUGGAUAAUGGCGGCGAAAUAUUUGCCGAGGUGACAGGACAGCCAGUAGCAAGUUUUCCUCCAUGGCCCGAGCCAAAUGAGGAAGGGGGCGGUGUUGUGCUUCCCUGCAAAUACAUACUUGAAAAUGUGAAUGCUUCAACUUUAUUUGAUAAAUUGAAGACAAUUUUGUCUCAAUUAAAAGAGGGGGAUGCGAUGAAAUUGUAUACUUUAUAGAUGAUAAACAGCCUCUGAACU